AUUGAACGCUGCGGCAGGAUUAACACAUGCAAGUCGAGCGCGCGGCGGACGGGUGAGUAAUGCUUAGGAAUCUGCCUAUUAGUGGGGGACAACAUAUCGAAAGGGAUGCUAAUACCGCAUACUAAUAGAUGAGCCUAAGUCGGAUUGGCUAGUUGGUGGGGUAAAGGCCUACCACGGCGACGAUCUGUAGCGGGUCGGGGAGGAGGAUCCGCCACACUGGAACAGGGAGCAGCCCCAGACUCCUGCUGGUCGCAGCAGUGGGGAAUAUGGCAGUAUGGGGGGAGCCCCGAUCCUGGCAGGCCGCGUGUGUGAGGAUGGCUUUAUUGUUGUACAGAGCGUUAAGCGAGCGUGCGUUACUCGCAGAAUAGGUACCUGCUUACUCAGUGCCAGCAGCCGCGGUAAUGC
rnacentral:rRNA from 1 species